rnacentral:rRNA from 1 species
UCCUGACCGUGCAAAGGUAGCAUAAUCACUUGCCUAUUAAUUGUAGGCUAGAAUGAAAGGACAAACGAGAAUACACCUGUCUCCUUUAAGCCCUUAAAAAUUUAUCUUUAAGUGAAGAAGCUUAAAUUCAUAUGCAGGACAAGAAGACCCUAUAGAGCUUUACCUAAAAUCUACAUAAACAGUAGCUAGCGGUUCGGUUGGGGCGACCGGGGGACAUUCAUCACCCCCAAACUAAAAGAUAUACCUAUCCCACCAAAGAUCCUUACUCAAGAUCAAAGAAUCAAGCUACCUUAGGGAUAACAGGCUAAUCCUCUUAGAGAGCCCUUAUCGACAAGAGGGGUUGGCACCUCGAUGUUGGCUUAGGACUUCUCC